AAGGAGUUGUUAUGGAUGUGUUCCCCCAAAUUUAGAAGUUGAAAUGUAAAACACCAAUGUGAUAAUAUUAACAGGCGGAGGCAUUAUGAGGUGAGUAAGUUGUCAGGGCAAAGCCCUCAAGGAUGGGACUAGGACCCUUUAAAAGGACCUGAAGGAAUGGGUUUGGCCUCUUCCCUCCCUUCCGCCACUGAGGACACAGCGUUCAUCCCCUCUAGAGAAUGCAGCAGGAAGGGUCCAUCUUGGAAGCUGAGACGGGACUCUCACCAGACACAGAGACUGCCAAUGCCUUGAUCUUGAACAUUCCAGCAUCCAGAACGGAUUCCCAGAGAGAAGGAAAGGGUGUCUUCACUAGGCUUCAUGGUAGCAAGCACAAUCACUGCAUAAGAAGUGCAGGGACAGCAGAGUGACCCUUCUGUGAACACAUCCAAUGACUGGAGUCCGGAGGCCUAUGGGCUGGAAGUGAGUGUGCCAACAACCAGAGCCCUGGGUAAGAAGGGAACUGCAUCGCAAGGAGGCCCAAUUAAACUGCAAUUACUCAAGAUAAGAAAACGAGGUCUGUUUACACAAUGGGGUUGUAAACCACCGGCUGUGACAAGAGAACUUUGAUCUGGUGGCAAGGGAGCUGUUUCUCAUGCAGGGCAGUGAUGAAACAAGGAGGUUUCCCAAUGAGGAUGUCUCCAUCUUCACCCCAGUAGCCCCAUCUUCUUCUGGUAGCACCCUUGCAUGGACAAGCGGAAAUCCUCACCCCUUCCCAGCCCCAGUAUCCACCUAACACAAUCAAAAAGUGAAGAAUAGAAAGAGAUGAGAUAGUGACUAAAAGGAAAAGAGAAUUGAUGGAGGUCAUCUUUGUGGAGGCGCUUGACAAGCAUGUUCUCACUGAACCGUCACAGUGACCUUCCACGUACCUUAUACCAUGCCUAUUUUACAGAUGAAGACACUGAGGUUCAGAGGAGAGCAGUGCCUCCCAAACUGUAAUGUGCAUAUGAAUCACCCGGGGAUCCUGUUACAAUGCAGUCUGCUGCAGUAGGUCUGAGGUCUGGCCAGACAUUCCACAUUUCUAACAAGCUCCCACGUGGUGCUGAUGCCGCAGGUCAGAGGACUUCACUGUGAGUAGCAAGGCAGCGCUGGACUAACUUGGUUGAACUCAUGAGUGAUUAUAACAAGGAACAACAGGUGAGCAAGACUCUCAACAGCAGCAGUGGCCACCCUGCAGCCCUUGUGCACAGCCCACGGCCCCUGAAGAAAAAGCGUUUUCUCUUUGGAUAAAAAUAGGCCACCAAACCCAAAACCACAACUGAUGAAAGAGUUAUAGUAUCAGUAAUUUUACAAAUCAAAUGGAGCUGAUGGAGUUAUCAUUUUAGAAUUGGUAUUUCCUGCUGUUUAACAAAUACUUUUUUCUCAGUUGCAUGGCAGUGGUCUAAAGUAAGAAGGAAAAUGGACUUGAGAUUAAAAACAAAA
rnacentral:lncRNA from 1 species